GACGAACGCUGGCGGCGUGCCUAAUACAUGCAAGUUGAGCGAUGAAGAUUGGUGCUUGCACCAAUUUGAAGAGCAGCGAACGGGUGAGUAACGCGUGGGGAAUCUGCCUUUGAGCGGGGGACAAAAUUUGGAAACGAAUGCUAAUACCGCAUAACAACUUUAAACAUAAGUUUUAAGUUUGAAAGAUGCAAUUGCAUCACUCAAAGAUGAUCCCGCGUUGUAUUAGCUAGUUGGUGAGGUAAAGGCUCACCAAGGCGAUGAUACAUAGCCGACCUGAGAGGGUGAUCGGCCACAUUGGGACUGAGACACGGCCCAAACUCCUACGGGAGGCAGCAGUAGGGAAUCUUCGGCAAUGGACGAAAGUCUGACCGAGCAACGCCGCGUGAGUGAAGAAGGGUUUCGGAUCGUAAAACUCUGUUGGUAGAGAAGAACGUUGGUGAGAGUGGAAAGCUCAUCAAGUGACGGUAACUACCCAGAAAGGGACGGCUAACUACGUG
rnacentral:rRNA from 1 species